rnacentral:rRNA from 1 species
UACGUAGGGUGCAAGCGUUAAUCGGAAUUACUGGGCGUAAAGCGUGCGCAGGCGGUGAUGUAAGACAGAUGUGAAAUCCCCGGGCUCAACCUGGGAACUGCAUUUGUGACUGCAUCGCUGGAGUGCGGCAGAGGGGAUGGAAUUCCGCGUGUAGCAGUGAAAUGCGUAGAUAUGCGGAGGAACACCGAUGGCGAAGGCAAUCCCCUGGGCCUGCACUGACGCUCAUGCACGAAAGCGUGGGGAGCAAACAGGAUUAGAACGU